UGACGCAGCGACGCCGCGUGAGGGAGGAAGGCCUUCGGGUGUAAACCUCUUCAGGAGGGACGAAGCUACUCGGGUUAAUAGCCCAGAGGGUGACGGUACCUCCAGAAGAAGCCCCGGCUAACUACGUGCCAGCAGCCGCGGUAAUACGUAGGGGGCAAGCGUUGUCCGGAUUUACUGGGCGUAAAGAGCGUGUAGGCGGCCAAACAGGUCCGUUGUGAAAACUGGAGGCUUAACCUCCAGACGUCGACGGAAACCGUGUGGCUAGAGUCCGGAAGAGGAGAGUGGAAUUCCUGGUGUAGCGGUGAAAUGCGCAGAUAUCAGGAAGAACACCAAUGGCGAAGGCAGCUCUCUGGGACGGUACUGACGCUGAGACGCGAAAGCGUGGGGAGCGAACAGGAUUAGAUACCCUGGUAGUCCACGCCGUAAACGAUGGGUGCUAGGUGUGGGAGGUGUCGACUCCUUCCGUGCCGUAGCUAACGCAUUAAGCACCCCGCCUGGGGAGUACGGCCGCAAGGCUA
rnacentral:rRNA from 1 species